GUAUUCAGCCUUGAGAGGCUAGAUUGAGAUAAAUUUCCAUGUCAUGCAGAUAAAGAUUUUAUAAAUCAGGUGGUACAUAAAAUAAUCCAUAAUCUCUACAGUGGAGGUUCUGUGGACCAGCCUAAGAGAGGGGGCACAGAAUCAGAUAUACCUUACCUCGAUCGGAGAGCUGUGUGGAGGGUUCCUCUGGAGGUAAAGAUUUGAGUGCACUUCACGUGGACCACCGCGUGAGAGUGAGACUCAGCCAACGUCAAGGCAUGGCUAGAAUUUCGGAUGUAAAGAUAUUUAAUAGCCUUGGUGAUCUCGGUCAGAUGCCUAGGCCAAGACAUCCCCGGGAAUGAUUUUGGCAAGAGCCAAGUUUUGUGAGAUAUAUAAGCCAUGUUGAUUAAUUGAGUAAACUGAAUAUUCAUGUUAUGAAAAUAUUGGAAAAGAAUAUUUUAAUUCGUCUCCAUUUACUCGUCUUUAGAUGGUUUAGAUGGUGUCUGUUUACUCACUGGGAUUUUAUAAUCUCACCACCCUCAUUUUCUCAUAUUUCAGGCUCAGGGAAUUCCAUAGUUAGCUGACAUUGACAAGGACUUUCAUUUGGACUUAAAUCAGCAAAAGCUGUAGGUUUUCAGCUUCCGAUGCAUUUUGGUCAGUUGGGGGCCCACGUGUCACUGUAAAAGUAAUUUUAUACUUAAGUUAUCUGAUUUAAAGUAUGUAUGAACAUAUUUAGCUUUUACACCAUGUUUUUGAGGAGUUUCGGUAUUUUUUUAAAAAAAAGGACGAAAAUGCCCCUGUGAGCCAAAAAAUAAUAUUUUAUUGUUUUGAUUUGGAAACGACUUAUGAUUUCUUGAAAUAAGAGAUUUAAUAAUUGUCGCUCACCGGGGAGAUGCGAAAGCUGAUGCUAAGCCUUGCGGGGUUCCAAUCGACAUUCGGGGUAAUGAGUGCCUAUCGGGACGUCGCGACGGUUGUCAUGGGCCCGAUGAGAGUUUUGGGUCGUGACAAUUAAAGUGGUAUCAGAGCAUGGUUUAAAGAUCAAAGAUUUUGGUUUUAAAGCUUUGGAUUUUAAAGUUUUUUGUUUUAAAGUUGUUUUAAGAAAUCAACACUAACACUGCGUGGCCCCGGAUUAAGUUACGUUAAGUCAAAUAGAAUGCAUGAGUUUGCAUAUAGAGACCUAUUUAUUUUCAGGUUAUAUAAGAGAUUAAGUAAUUGUCGUUAGACAAUCUCUCCCAGACUGUGGGAGUAAUGUAAGUAAAUGGCAAGAGAAGAAAAAAGGAAAACUUGAAACGAACUCGAAAAAGGAUCAAGAUGAUAAUGAUCCUAAAGAUGUUUAGUGCCUUGUUGAAGCUUGUAAUACUAUAAUCCUAGACAGAUGUAGUAUAAGAAGGAUAAUAAUCCCCUGUAUAAAAGGCUUAAGAAUUGACUUUUGUCUUGUAUAAUAUAAACGGAUGAUGGAGUAGUUGUUUAAAUGACAGAAGGAGUAUAAAAAUCUUUUAGUAUGACAAAGGUAGAUUAGUAAUAUAAGUAUCGAUGAUGAAUAAUUAUCUUAGUGGCAAGAUCGAUUUUUUAAAUAAGUACUGAAGGUUGAAAUAGGAAGCCAUUAAUGGUUCCAACAAUUAUUAGAUUUAAUAACGAUUAAACCUUGCAGUACUAUGAAUUGAUCACCAGUUAACGGGGUUAAGUUAAGGAUUAUAAAUUUGAAUAUAGAGGGAAUUAGAAGGUGAUACCGUAAAAUUUUAAGGUGAGAAAUAUAAUCGAUUGCGACUAUGAAAAUACUGGGAUACUAUAAAUAAUGAAUCAUUAGGCUUGUGAUGAAGUUAUGAUCUAUUAAACCAUAUGGGAAGACUGUCCUAAGGUGGGACAUAGGACAUGAGGAUUUUUUGAUAUGCUUAUAGAGGGAGAUAUCAAUUGUAAAGUAUGUUUUCCCCCACAAGUUUUAAUUUAUUCAAGAAAUUAUCAUGGUAAAGAUAUGUCACGACCUGGAACUCCCAUCGGGCCCAUGACAAUCGCCGCGACGUCUCGAUAGGCACUCAUUACCCCGAAUGCCAAUCAAAACCUCGCAAGGCUUAGCAUCAGCUUCCACAUCUCCCCGGUGAGUGACAGUUAUUAAAUCUCACAUUUCAAAAAAAUCAUAAGUCGUUUUCAAAUCAAAAUAAUAAAAUAUUAUUUUUUUUGGCUCACAGGGGCAUUUUCGUAAGUUUUCUUCAAAAAUACCGAAACCCGUCAAAAACAUGGUGUAAAAGAUAAAUAUGUUCAUACAUACUUUAAAUCAGAUAACUGAAGUAUAAAAUUACUUUUACAGUGACACGUGGGCCCCCAAUUGACCAAGAAAGUGUAGGGCUACGAACCCUUACUUUCUAGGAUGAAACACCGAGAUUAAUUCUCGUCUUAAUCAACUAUCAACAAACUAUCUUGAGCCUGAAAAUGAAUAGAAAGAGGGGUGAGAUUAUGAUUACAUAAUCCCAGUGAGUAAACAAACACCAUCUAAACUAUCUAAAGGCGAGUAAAUGGAGACAAGUAAGAUAUUCCAUUUCAGUAUGUUUUUCAUAACAUCAGUAAUCAAUUUACUCAAAUAAUCAACUUGGCUUAUGUAUUUCACAAAACUUGACUCCUGCCAAAAUCAUUCUUGCGGGUACCUUCGUCAAGGUAUCCCACUGAGACCGCCAAGGCUGUUAAAUGUCUCAUACCCAUAAACAUGUUUUCGCAUCUGACACACAGUCGUUCUUUGACGUUGGCUGAGUCUCACUCUCACGCAGUGGUUAACGUGAAGUGCACUCAAAAAGCCCACCUCGGGAGAUACCCUACGCGUCUCUACGAUCGAGGUGAGAAUAUAAAGGAGUUUACCGUGCCCCUCUAAUAGGCUGGUCCACGGAACCCCCCACCAUUGUAGUAGCUAAUCUUUAAUCCACCAAUUGAUCAAAUCUCAAUGGCAUAGAAUGGCAAUUACAUUGCUAACAAAUUUAUCAAGGCAAAACAGACAGUUCAUAUUUUUCAACACAAGUAUAAAUUCAGCCAAUCAUGCCAAUUUAUCACAAGCCAUCUAAUUCAAAUCAUAAUUUUACAACACAAGUAGGCAGUCUCCAAUUAAUCUAUUUUCAAAACCAGUAUUCGAUUUUCCAAAAAAUUUAUAAAAUCAGUUUAUAAAAUCACAAUUUCUCCUAAAACAUAGAAAUUUACCAUUUAAACCCAUUUUCCAUAAAAUCACACAAUUGUAUAAAACUACUCUAGAUAAUUAAGACGAUAAUAAGUUCACUCACAGUAUUAGGAGUAGAAAUACUCCUAUUUUCAGUUUGCGGGUACAGUCUUUUAUCCAUAUCCAAUGGCUCACCACUUAGCCAUAAUCCAUGACACAUAUUCCAAUUAAAUUGUGUCUAACAGUCAUAAGCUAUUUCAGGCUCAAUAUAUAUGCAUGUUAUGAAAUGAAAAAUGCACGGGUAGCCAUCUAGACUCAAUAUUGGCCUAAGUCGAUUUUUCAUCUGAUAAAUUGGCCAAUGCGUCCAAUUUCACUCCAACUUUCUCCAUUUCUUUUCCAAUCCCUCAAUUCACCAAGCACAACUAAUUAACACACAAUUAGGCAAAUUUAUCUUCACUUUUCUUCUUGGAACUUUCGGCCAUUGAAGGUUCAUGGGGAAAAUGGAUUCUUUUCUUGUUGUUUUGUUUCUAAACAUGUUUAACUAACUCUAAACACCAACAUAACUCAAAAUCAAACAAUUCCAACAUCUUUCUCUCUCCAUACCCAUUUUGACCAGCCAUAAUUUCAUCAUGAAAACAUGUAAUUUAACCAUGGAAAUUAAAGAAAAAUGCAUGGGUAAGGUAAAUCACUAGCAAAAUCAAAGAAAUUUUACCUUUGCUUGAUCAAAUCCUUGAAUUCCAACACUUUCUCUUUGAUUUUUCCCACCUAGGGUUUGUUCUUCCUUGGUUUCUCUUCUCUUCUGGUUUGGCUGAUCACUAUGGGAGAAAUGGGCUGAUUUUUUGCCUUUUUAUAAAGAAAUAAUAAAAUAAAAACAACAUGACACAUGGCAUUUCCUUAUUGGCUCAAAUUUUAAAUAUUUGACUUUUAAUUCUUUAAUUCUCCACCACACAUUUCUCAUGUUUAUCCAUUUCCAUGAUGAAUAAAAUUUCUUGGUCUUGACAAGUGUCAAGGGUGAAAAUUUACCGAUUUGCCCCCAAGGUGGCAAAAUUACUAUUUCACCCCUAUACUCCAAAUUAUACCAAAAUUAAAAUUUUUCACUUCUAAACUUCAAAUCAUACUCCAAUAAGUAAAAUGGAGCCAAAAAAUCUUUUCUAAAAAUUCCCAUUUUGUCCCCAAGUGGUAAAUGACCAUUUUGCCCCUAGAUAGUGAAAAUUUUGAUUUGACUCCAAAUUGAUCCUCGAACUCCGAAUUACCAUUUUGAGUCAUCCCUGAACUGUCAAAAUCUUAAUUUCACCUUAAAAUUCCUAUUUGAACUAGUUCAAGGCUUAAUCGACUUAAUGGUACCAUUAGGGGCAAUAUCGUCUUUUAACGAUUCCUCGAACUUCCUAAAUAUGCAAACAUUCUAUUGAGCAUGUAAAUGACAUCAUAAUUAUUUUAUAGAACAGGGUUUGACAAGAUAUGUGAAUAUUGGUAGUGAAAUAUGCCCUAAGAGAUAACUGUGGCAUAUCACAUAGAUAAUUUAAAUAUGUUGGGGUCAGUGUCACGAUCAUGCAUCCGUGAUAGAGAAUUUACUUUGCUAAUUGUGGUAUAGACUCAAAAAGGAGUCAAGCCGUCAAGAACGACUAAGGUAGUAACUCCAAAAGUAAAAGAUUUGUUUUAAUUAAGUAGAUUUCAACGGCUACAUUGAAAUAAAUUAUCUUGUGGAGUAUUAAGAUCAAUAAUGUAUUGAUCAAAGUCAAAUCUUAAGAAAUAAAGAGGAUGAGAGAUUAAUGAGAAAGGACAUCAAUGUUAAGUAACGAAUUUGUGAAUAAAGGAUUACGAUGGUGGCAUAGAAAAUGAGUAUUAUAAAGGAUUACUGUGAGGAUUUAUAAUUCUUGUAUUAACUCAGUUGAAUGAAAAGUAAUUAAAUGAAGCAACUCUUGUGGUAAACAGCAAAAUAGUGAAGUUGACGUAGAGUCUUGUUUAUAGUCAGUGACUGCAGCACCAAUUAUAAAUAGGAGGCUGCGUAGACUCUUUAUCUUGGGAAACUACCUAGUGAAAUCCUAAAUGACAUAAAGACUCAUGAUUGAGAGGAUUAUUGCUGAUCAAAUUCUAAAGGGUAAUAAUAGAUAUAAGUGAAGUAUUCAAGUUGAGUUGGAAAUAAAUACGAGGAGCAACUCAAGAUUCCCUAUAAAGGAGAUAAUAGGAGAAGUUGAGCAUCGAAUAAAAGAUAAUACCCCGCCUUUUCUUUGAGUUUGAUAAGUGAAAUUUUGAUGACAAAAUUUUAUUUUAAGGGGGAUAGUGUUGUCAAACCCUGUUCUAUAAAAUAAUUACGACGUCAUUUACAUGCAUAAUAGAAUGUUUUCAUAUUUAGAAAGUUCAAGAAAUCGUUAAAAGAUUGUGCUUGAAGACUGGGAUUAGGAGUACAUCGACUCCUAGAACUGUGAGUAAACUUAUUAUCGUCUUAAUUAUCUAGAGUAGUUUUACACAAUUGUGUGAUUUUAUAGAAAAUAGGUUUAAAUGGUAAAUUGCUAUGUUUUAGGAGAAAUUGUGAUUUUAUAAAGUGAUUUUAUAAAUUUUCUGAAAAAUUGAAUACUGGUUUCGAAAAUAAAGUAAUUGGAGACUGCCCGCUUGUGUUAUAAAUUGUGUAUUAAAUUAUAUGGCUUAUAGCAAUAUGUGAGCAUGAAUGGCAAAGUUGGUAUUUGUAUCAAAAUUAUAUAUAUACUAUGUAUUCAGCCUUGAGAGACUAGAUUGCGAUAAAUUGUCAUGUCAUGCAGAUAAAGAUUUUAUAAAUCAAGUGGUAGAUAAAAUAAUCCAUAAUCCCUGCAGUGGAGGUUUUGUGGAUCAGCCUAAGAGAGGGGGCACAGAAUCAGAUAUACCUUACCUCGAUCGGAGAGUCGUGUGGAGGGUUUCUUUGGAGGUAAAGAUUUGAGUGCACUUCACGUGGACCACCGCGUGAGAGUGAGACUCAGCCAACACCAAGGCAUGGCUAGAAUUUC
rnacentral:lncRNA from 1 species